rnacentral:rRNA from 1 species
CCUACGGGCGGCAGCAGUGAGGAAUAUUGGUCAAUGGCCGGAAGGCUGAACCAGCCAUGCCGCGUGAAGGUCAGUGCCCUAUGGGCGUAAAACUUCUUUUGUGCGGGAGCAAUAAUGGUCACGUGUGGCCAGACGAGAGUACCGUAAGAAUAAGCAUCGGCUAACUUCGUGCCAGCAGCAGCGGUAAGACGGGGGAUGCAAGCGUUAUCCGGAUUUUUUGGGUUUAAAGGGUGCGUAGGCUGUGAGGUAAGUCAGCGGUGAAAUGCCCCCGCUCAACGGGGUGAAGUGCCAUUGAUACUGCCUUGCUGGAAUGCGGAUGCCGUGGGAGGAAUGUGUGGUGUAGCGGUUAAAUGCAUAGAUAUCACACAGAACACCGAUUGCGAAGGCAUCUCACGAAUCCGCGAUUGACGCUGAUGCACGAAAGCGUGGGUAUCAAACAGGAUUAGAUACCCCAGUAGUC